UACGAAGGGAGCUAGCGUUGUUCGGAAUCACUGGGCGCAAAGCGCACGUAGGCGGAUGUGUCAGUCAGGGGUGAAAUCCCGGAGCUCAACUUCGGAACUGCCUUUGAUACAGCACGUCUUGAGUCCGAUAGAGGUGGGUGGAAUUCCUAGUGUAGAGGUGAAAUUCGUAGAUAUUCGCAAGAACACCAGUGGCGAAGGCGGCUCACUGGCCCGAUACUGACGCUGAGGCACGAAAGCGUGGGGAGCAAACAGG
rnacentral:rRNA from 1 species